rnacentral:rRNA from 1 species
CAAUAGCGUAUAUUAAAGUUGUUGCAGUUAAAAAGCUCGUAGUUGGAUUUGUGGUUCGUCCCGCCGGCUGGGUCAUUGACUUUUGCUGUGCUGGUCGUCCAUCCUUGGGUGGAAUCUGUGUGGCAUUAGGUUGUCGCGCAGGGGAUGCCCAUCGUUUACUGUGAAAAAAUUAGAGUGUUCAAAGCAGGCUUAUGCCGUUGAAUAUAUUAGCAUGGAAUAAUGAUAUAGGACCUUGGUACUAUUUUGUUGGUUUGCGCACUGAGGUAAUGAUUAAUAGGGACAGUUGGGGGUAUUCGUAUUCCAUUGUAAGAGGUGAAAUUCUUGGAUUUUUGGAAGACGAGCUACUGCGAAAGCAUUUACCAAGGAUGUUUUCAUUAA